GCCUUUAUGCUGUAGUGGUCAGCAAGCUCAACUCGUAUUCGAGAGGUCCGUGGUUCGAAUCCCGGGGAAAGUG
rnacentral:tRNA from 1 species